GUGAACAAGUGGUCAAACAUUGACUCUUCUGUGACGGAUUCAAUUGUUGCUGAUGUCAUUGCCAAGUGGGAUUUGGAGGACACAUAUUCUACUAAGG